GUAACGGUGACAGACAUGAGUUGCUUCCGGCCGGCCGAGACAGUUACUGCUAGCAGUACAAAGAAGGGUGAUCUGAUACUCGGUGAGAUCCAGUCACAGAUCAAGAACAAAGGAAUCACUAUAGAUGUGAAGGCCAACUCAGCAUCUAAUGUCAUUACUACAAUUACCGCUGAUGCGUAUGCGGCACCAGGGCCGAAGACCAUCUUCCGCUUUGCUGUUCCUGGUCAAAAAUCUGGAAAGGUCUAGCUCCAGUACUUACAUGAUUAUGCUGGUAUUAAUGCAAGCAUUGGUUUGACUGCUAAUCCUGAAAGCAGCCUCUCUGCUGCACUUGGAACUAACGCUCUAGCUGUUGGUGCUGAUGUCUGAAUCAAAACGGAUGACCCAUCUGUCAGCGCUGUGAACUGACCAUGCUCAACUCCUGGUUCUUGAUUUUUGAAUGAUAACAAGAUCGUUAUGGAAACUGAUGUAUGGCCACUUAAUGUCCUUGUAAUUUUGCAAACAGUGAUAAUUUCUCUACAUCAAUUUGAUUGCGAUCCCACAAAUUUGAAGUUAUUUGUGUGAACUGGGGUCUCUUGUUUCUAUAAGAUUGUGUUCUUGACUUCUAUUUAGAUGAUAAAGAACAUUCAGUUCCGCCAUUUAGAGCACAUCAAAUUUUCAUAUUAGUUUAUUUUUGAAUGAUUGGCAUUGACUCUGCAGCAUGAUUUCAUUCAUUUUCUAGACUUCAGAGUUCUGCCAUUGAGUUGAUAAUUAUGCUGCCAGGAUACUGCAGCAUGCAGUCACAUUAAAUGUUUCAUUUUUAAUUGGCUAUAUCAUUCACAGUUCUGGUUUUGAAGAUGUCUCCUUUUGAAUGUAGUUAUUGUUAAGAUGGUGCAUUGUUUGUAAUAAUCUUUUAUCAGCAAGUAUUUACAUUUUUAAUUGCAAAAAAUGCUAUUGAUUGUGCUUAUAGUUCUGUACUUGAAACAAUAUUUUGGUAUCUGCAUUUUUCACCUUUAUAUGCUGAAAUGAAAGGAGCCACAUCAAACUGUAACUAUUGUGGUCGUGCUGAUGGCAUUUAUUCUAAUUUUAAUAUAUGCGUUCCUAGUUGUCUGACUUACAGUUUCAGACUAAUUCUUGCCAUCAUUGCAAUUUGUAUUGUCUUACGACAUUAUUGAUACACAUGUUGGUAAUUAUUCUGUUCAUCAAACUCUAAAAGUGUUGCAUUUUGAACUCUUUUACUGGAGCUCCAGGUUGAAGAAAUUUGAAGCCUGAAGCCCUGCAAAGCAAAGAGGAACUACUUAUCAUUAGUGCUAGUUGUAUUAGUUCGGCACAGAAUGGCCAUCUAUGGAAAGACUGUAAUAGGCUAAUGUUAGCUAUUAUUUCAAGUAUUUUGCAGGCUAAAUUUAAAUAUUUUUCAAUUAUUUUGUAUGUCAUAUGUCUUCCAUUUGAAAAAUUUGUCUUUGGUUUACUGUCAGA